rnacentral:pre_miRNA from 1 species
AAAAAAAACAAACCCUGGUUUACAUGUCCAACGUUUGACCGUCCGUCUUAUUUGAAAAAAUUAUAAAAAAAAUUAAAAAGACAAGUCACGUAUAAAAUAUUAAUCAUGUUUUAUCAUCUAACAACAAUAAAAAUACGAAUUAUAAAAAAAAUUAUAUAAGACAGACAGUUAAAGUUGGACACGGAAACCAGGUUUUAUCUUUUU